rnacentral:lncRNA from 1 species
UUGAGAUUGGAGUUUCAGCUUUGAAGUGUCAAGCCAAUGGUGCUGCUAUAGAGGAGUUGCAGCUUGGAGUUACAUCCGGACUGAUGGUGUUGUAGUUUUGAGACUCCCUCUCAAGAUGGGCAUGUAUGUUUAAUGUGCCCAUCUUGGAUAACAGAAAAUGGAAUGUAGUAGCAAAUAAAGCUUUGGUAAAUAUAUCUGCUAACUGAAAUUUUGAAGCAAUGUGGACUAGUUUAAGAACACUAGCAAACACCUUUUCCCUGACAAAGUGACAGUCCAGCUCUGUGCUUAGUCCUCUCAUGAAAAACCGGAUUUCCAGUGAGAUGUAGUGCUGCCUGAUUAUCACAAUAUAGGAGUGCAGGUUGUGGAUGGUUUCUUUUGAAAUCUUUCAACAAGGUAAUCAACCAAACAAUCUCACAACUCAUAUGAGCUAAUGCCCUGUACUCUGCUUCUGCAGAAGAUCGAGAAAUAGUGGCAUGUUUCCUGGAUUUCCAGCUAACUAGAGAAUCUCCAAUAAAAAUGCAGAAACCAGUGACUGAUCUUCUGGUUUCUGGACAUGCUGCCCAGUCUGAAUCACUAUAUGCCUUAAGGCGCAGAGGAGAUUGAGAAGAGAAGAAAAUACCUUGACCUAUGGAUCCCUUUAGAUAUUUCAGAAUUAUGUGAGCUGCAAGUAGAUGAAUUUGUGUUGACUUGUCCAUGAAUUGGCUCAGAACAUUGAUAGCAUAUGUUAUGUCUGGUCUAGUGAUUGUCAGAUAGAUGAGUCUCCCAAUCAAUCUUCUAUAGUUUGUAACAUCAACCAGUAAAUCUUUGGAUGAGUGUGAUAACUUCUGAUUGGAUUCUAUUGGAGUUGUGAUCGAUUUGCUGCCGAGAAGCCCAGCCUCUUCAAGGAUUUCAAGAGUGUAUUUUCUUUGGUAUAAAUGAAUACCAGCAACUGAUCUUGCAAUCUCUAGUUCCAAAAAAAUAUUUCAGAACUCCUAAAUCCUUGAUCUUGAAUUGAGAGUGUAAAUAUGCUUUGAUAGAGUCAAUAGCUAUCAAGUUGUUGCUGCCUACAAUGAUAUCAUCUACAUAAACUAUAAGAACUAUAAAACCAUGCUCAUCACUUCUUGUGAAUAAGGAAUAAUCAAAUUUGGACUAUUGAAAACUAAUGGCAGUGAGAGAAGAGAAGAAUUUUAAAUACCAUUGCCGAGAGGCUUGCUUGAGGCCAUAGAUAGAUUUAUGUAAUCUGCGUACUGAUUUCCUAUUGGAUGACUCUCCCUUAAUCUAAAAACCCGAAGGUAAUUCCAUAUAUAUUUCUUCAUCUAGAUCACCAGGAAGAAAUGCAUUGUGGACAUCCAAUUGACAUAAAUGUCACUUGUAUCUUGCUGCUAAAGCAAGAAAUACCCUGAUGGUUGUGAGUUUGGCUACAGGGCUGAAGGUUUCUUGGUAAUCAAAGCCUUCCCUUUGUGUGUAACCUUUAGUUACCAACCUUGCUUUAUAUCUCUCAAUUGUCCCAUCUAAAAUUAACUUGAUUUUGUAGACAUAUUUGCAACCUGCUGUUGUUUUCCCUGGAGGUAAAGUAGUGAUGGUCCAUGUUCUAUUGGCCUCUAGAGCAUCUAUUUCAACCCUCAUUGCAUCUCUCCAAUGUUGAAAGACUCCAGCUUCAUUAUAGAUUGUAGGUUCUUUGGUUAAAGAGAGAGUGUGUGUAGGCUUUGUGAGAUGGAGAAAGAUGGUCAUAGGAUAAGUGCUUAUGUAGAGGGUGGAUAGUGGAAAUGAUAAUUUGGUUGUUCAAUUGGUGUAGUAGUGACUAAUUUGCAGUGAUAAUUCUUUAAAUAGUUUGGUGGAUGUCUGACCCUGUUAGACCUCCUAAGAGGGAUCAUAGAAACAUUAGGGUUAUGGGACUCAUUAAGAAAGGGUGAUUCAGUUGGCAUGACUGAGUUUGGACACACAAAAGGUGACACGGCUAAGUAUACACAUGCUGAAGGUGGCACAGCUGAAUCUGCACAUGCAAGGGAAGAACUAGGUGCUGGAGAGUGAGGUAAAGGGUUGGUGGUUUCUGUCUGAGUGGGAUAGGCUGAUACAUGAGUAUCUGGUAAAGCUGGAGGUAGAACCAGAUCUGAUGAAGAUGGAGAAAAUUCAGGGACUUUUGUGUUAGAAUUCUGAAAAGAAAAUGUGGAUUCAUGGAAGAUGACAUUCCUUGGAAAUGAAAUAUUACUGAUUUUCUAAGUCAUAGACUUGGUAGCCUUUAACCUCUGCUGGAUGCCCAAGAAAAAUGUAUUUUCUGGCUCGAGGAUCAAACUUGGUUUGGUUAUGCUUGAGAGUGGAAACAAAGCAUAAACACCCAAAAACUCUUAAAUGGGUGUAAGAAGGAGUGGAAGAAAAAGAGCUUCAUAAGGUGACUUCUUGUUGAGAAUUGGAGUGGGUGUCCUAUUGAUCAAAUAAGUGGCUGUUAGGACAGCAUCUCCCCAAAACUUGAUUGGAAGAGAUGCUUGAAAAAGAAGAGCUCUAGCAACAUUGAGGAGGUGUUGAUGUUUUCUUUCAACAAUUUUAUUUUGUUGUGGAGUAUAAACCCAAGUCUUUUGGUGUAUAAUCCCAUUGGAAUUAUAAAAUUCAGACAUCUAAAAUUCCACACCAUUAUCAGUUCUGACUUGUUUUACUUUGGCAUUAAAUUAGGUUUGGACCAUACAAAUAAAGGACUGCAUGAGAGAUCUUAUUUUAGAUUUAUGUUUCAUGAGGUACAACCAAGUUACUGUUAGGAGUAUGCCCUAGAAGCCAAUUUGGUAGACACAUUGUAAUUGUUCUAGAGGCAUGAAAUUUGUAUUUGAUCUUCUAUUAAUUAAUAAAAUAAGGCAUUUUGUUCAUUCAUGUUAUUAUGUGUCCAUGAAUCGUCCUAGGAAUUAAUAAAAUAAUAACACAUACUCUCAAGAGUUGAGAAUUUAAGGCAUGUGUAAUUAAUAGCUAAUUUCUGAAUUGCUUCUGAUUGAUGGAUUAUCACAAAGGACGGUGAUCGAUCCGAUGAGAUUAGUGCAUAGAUCUCUUUCCUUGAUGGACGAGUCUUAAGUCCAUAGUGUGGGGACACCGGUGUGAUUGUGCAAGUGUUUGUUAGAGAACAAGGGUACUAAGCGUGACCAAAGCAAGAAGUCACUUGGAUGUCUAUCCGCUCGUCAGUGACUUACUUGAUGCUGCAGUUGUAUGACUAGUACUUAGACCUGCGAUGCCUCAGCUAAUCACGGUGAGGUUGUUGUAGUUUGACGAGCACAUAAGCAUGGACCCUAAGGAUCCUUAUAGUGUAGAUUGGUUGUAGUACGUUCGCUGUCGGAUUAGGAUUGCAUCUAAAUGGGAUCUAUCGAUCUUGAUAGAUUAGGAGUGAUCCUAUGUGAUUUAUGAGACUAAGUUCGAAAGACCUUGGCCAGAGCAGUUCUGAAAAAUGAGUUUUCCAAUCUCGAACUUGAGUCAAAUAAAUUUAACAUAAGACAGACGAUCGGGUUUGACGAGUUAUCCAUAACCUUCGUCAUGUCGAGAUCCAUGAUAGAGGUACUGUAUCAUACGCUAACUGCACCUAAAGGUUCAUCCAUUCUGUUCUGUUGAGUUGUUACUAUAUGCUACUAGGUGUCACUAGUGGAUUGUGAGACUUGAAGACAUUCACUUGGUGAUCAGUGAACCCUAAGAGUAGAGUUGAAAUCGUUUCAACCUAUUGAAAGGAGUUUCGAUGAUAUUAUGAUAGAGAUCAUAAUAUAUCUCACUAUCAGUCAGAAUAGAACCUACGGAAUCACACACAUUAGAGGUUUUGAUCGUUUCGAUGGUUGGAUAACGAUUUAGAAUCGCAAUUGAUCUUGAUGUCAAUUUGAUUGACAAUUAGAGUUAGUGAAUUAAAGAAGAAAGAUUUACAAUUGGAUUGCAAUUUAAUUGAUUUAAUUGGACCUAAUUAAAUUAGGCUUAACCUUAUUGGACAAGGAUGGGAAGGACUAAUUAAUUAGAACUCCUUAUUAGACAAGAAACUUAAUUCAUGAAGUCCAAUUUGGAUCCUAAUUAGAUUAGGAUUUCCAUAAAUCAAUUUGGAGGACACAUUGGGUUCUAAUUGGAUUAAAAUUUAAUUGAUCAAAUGGGACCAUAUAAUUCCUAAUUGGAUUAGGAGACCCAUGCAUAGAAGGAAGG